rnacentral:rRNA from 1 species
GAUGAACGCUGGCGGCAUGCCUUACACAUGCAAGUCGAACGGCAGCACGGGGGGCAACCCUGGUGGCGAGUGGCGAACGGGUGAGUAAUGCAUCGGAACGUGUCCUCUUGUGGGGGAUAACCAGUCGAAAGACUGGCUAAUACCGCAUGAGAUCGAAAGAUGAAAGCGGGGACCGCAAGGCCUCGCGCGAGAGGAGCGGCCGAUGCCGGAUUAGCUAGUUGGUGGGGUAAUGGCCCACCAAGGCGACGAUCCGUAGCUGGUCUGAGAGGACGACCAGCCACACUGGGGAACUGAGACACGGCCCCAGACUCCUACGGGAGGCAGCAGUGGGGAAUUUUGGACAAUGGGCGCAAGCCUGAUCCAGCCAUGCCGCGUGUGUGAAGAAGGCCUCGGGUUGUAAAGCACUUUCGGACGGAACGAAAUCGCGCGCAUGAACAAUGGCGCGUGGAUGACGGUACCGUAAGAAGAAGCACCGGCUAACUACGUGCCAGCAGCCGCGGUAAUACGUAGGGUGCAAGCGUUAAUCGGAAUUACUGGGCGUAAA